CCCCGGAUGCUUUUCUGCUAAACGUUUCUGCUUCUUUCUUUGACUUUCUAUCAUAUUGGAGUGUUGAUAGACCACGUCAGUUUACAACGACAUUUAAAACGCUAUGACAUCACACCAAUAAAGUUAUAUGACUGCAAAUCAUGUGACAGGAGAAAAUAAAUGUUCACUUGUUAGUGGUGUGGCAGGCAGUCUAGGAACAAUUGCAACUACUGUCUAUGGUGCGGUACAACUUUAGAAAGGUAAAAUGAUGUUAUGAAAAUUACUACUAACUGGCAAGAUUUUAUGGACUACGACUGACAUUGGUUGACUCAUUGGCCAAAGUGGUAUGUGGGAUGUAUGCAAAGCUACGGAUAGAAUUCAGUGAAUCUAGAACUCAUUUUGGUAUGGAAUGGUUCAGCUAUUAGGCUCUCAAAGUUGAAGAAGAGAGAAUCAAGGAGGUUGACGAGAUGCUUGCUGUUGACGAAAGAAACUGCAAAUACAAUUUACUGAAAGAUAUGCAGAGCAUGCAGGCUCCAACAGAAGAAGAAAUCGAAGUUCUUCAGAUCAAGAGAAAGAGACCUGAUGAUCCACUGGCUCAAUAUUUAACAAAUAUGAUUAUUAUAUCUGAUGAGGUAAUACAGUAAACUAAACUUGAAUGUACAUAAGAUGUGAAUUAUAAUGGA